rnacentral:rRNA from 1 species
UACGAAGGGUGCAAGCGUUACUCGGAAUUACUGGGCGUAAAGCGUGCGUAGGCGGUUUGUUAAGUCUGUUGUGAAAGCCCCGGGCUCAACCUGGGAAUGGCAAUGGAUACUGGCAAGCUAGAGUGCGGUAGAGGGUAGUGGAAUUCCCGGUGUAGCGGUGAAAUGCGUAGAGAUCGGGAGGAACACCAGUGGCGAAGGCGACACCCUGGACCAGCACUGACACUGAGGCACGAAAGCGUGGGGAGCAAACAGG